rnacentral:rRNA from 1 species
GACGAACGCUGGCGGCGUGCUUAACACAUGCAAGUCGAACGGAAAGGCCCUGCUUUUGUGGGGUGCUCGAGUGGCGAACGGGUGAGUAACACGUGAGUAACCUGCCCUUGACUUUGGGAUAACUUCAGGAAACUGGGGCUAAUACCGGAUAGGAGCUCCUGCUGCAUGGUGGGGGUUGGAAAGUUUCGGCGGUUGGGGAUGGACUCGCGGCUUAUCAGCUUGUUGGUGGGGUAGUGGCUUACCAAGGCUUUGACGGGUAGCCGGCCUGAGAGGGUGACCGGCCACAUUGGGACUGAGAUACGGCGCAGACUCCUACGGGAGGCAGCAGUGGGGAAUAUUGCACAAUGGGCGGAAGCCUGAUGCAGCAACGCCGCGUGCGGGAUGACGGCCUUCGGGUUGUAAACCGCUUUCGCAUGUGACGAAGCGUGAGUGACGGUAAUGGGUAAAGAAGCACCGGCUAACUACGUG